GAGACAGCUUGAUUGACACCGCCAGUACUCCUACUCUCACGCAGAUUCAAGCCAGGAGCACCAGCUCUAGCCCGGCCAUACGCCCACGUCAAAGCACUACAGAGAUCCAGAUGGAGGCACUGAAGGCCCAGAUGCAACGGGACUUUGAAGCACAGCUCCUAGCACAGUAGCAGGCAUGGGCGGCACAGCAGCAGGCACAGCAGCAGGCGUGGGCGGCCGAGCGGGAGAGGAUGCAGCAAGACCUUCGGCAGACACAGGAAGCCUCCCAGCAGAAUCAGAUGCAGCUGGCCCUGGCUUUUCAGUUCAUGCAGACUCUGGGCUCGCAAAUGGGUCUUUCGCCACCGCAAUUCACUCAGACUAAUAUCCCUGCGCGUGCAGCUACCCCUACUCUUCCUCAAUCGGCGGCAUCAAAUGAGGG